UUCUCAGUGAUUUAAUGGCUUAAGACGCUUGUAUGGAAUACAAGAGAUCCGGGUAUAAGUCCUGGCUGAGAUA
rnacentral:tRNA from 1 species